ACGGGAGGCAGCAGUGGGGAAUAUUGCACAAUGGGCGAAAGCCUGAUGCAGCGACGCCGCGUGAGUGAAGAAGUUAUUCGUAACGUAAAGCUCUAUCAGCAGGGAAGAAAAUGACGGUACCUGACUAAGAAGCCCCGGCUAACUACGUGUCAGCAGCCGCGGUAAUACGUAGGGGGCAAGCGUUAUCCGGAUUUACUGGGUGUAAAGGGAGCGUAGACGGCGAUGCAAGUCUGAUGUGAAAUGCGGGGGCUCAACUCCUGAACUGCAUUGGAAACUGUAUUGCUGGAGUGCCGGAGAGGUAAGCGGAAUUCCUAGUGUAGCGGUGAAAUGCGUAGAUAUUAGGAGGAACACCAGUGGCGAAGGCGGCUUACUGGACGGUAACUGACGUUGAGGCUCGAAAGCGUGGGGAGCAAACAGGAUUAGAUACCCUGGUA
rnacentral:rRNA from 1 species